UGGCUAUCACAAAACAAACAAAUAUCCAUUAAAAGAGAUAGAGUUAUCAGAUCUCUUCCAAAAUAUAGCAACACGUGUAAAAAUUAGAAAUCGUGAAAUAUGAGGGAAUGAGACGAUUCUGAUCAUGCAUUAUGAUUUUAUUGCGAAUGUUUCAUAGUUCCUGCUGAUCCACUGUUACCCUCUCUCCCCUACUACAAAUCAGCUCAACUUGACUCAACAUCCUGGAUCUGGCAAUCAGCCAACCAACAUUAAAUCGAUACAACCGUAGCAGUACCAACAACUCCAAAUCCAGCAGCUGCCAACAAUCUCUCAAAAAAGAACCACAGCAAUUACAGCUCAGAACCAACAAAGCAACAAGAGCUUUUUUACGAAUAAUGGACCCAUCGGAAACAGUUUAUCGGCACAUUCUGUCGUAAAACUUGCCUGCCACUAUUCUUACCAGCGGUUACCUUCCUGAUUUAGAGAAAUCAGAGUCAAACACAAACGUCAUAUUACUGCCUUGGCUCCUACCAGUUGCUUGCAUGAAAAUAUCGCUGCCUCCACAGUGCUCGUGAUUCCAUCCCAGCAGCAGCUAGCAACCACAAUUCCAGUGCUUAUCGCCAGCAACAUCAGAAAAUUAAGAUUUCCCCCAGACCAUGACCAUCAUCCGACAGAUCGGUAGCAACGUUCAACUGACGGUACAACCUGGCCAGCAACCGCAACUAGUGCAAUCGAUCCAAGCCAAUCAGGGCCAAAUGUAGAAGACCAUUGGUCAACCGCAUAAAAAGAUACAUCAACAGCACCUUCAAACACAGUAGCAGCAGCAUACUGUACUGUACCACGCCGCGUGCAGGAGGACUUUUUUUAUUCAGUUGGUGCAGCAAGAUCGAACAGCAACCAUAGCGGAUACACAUCACCGAACACCAGCAACAUAAUGCCAUGGUAACCACGCAGCAGAACACGGUGAUAAUGGGCCAACAGUAAAUACAACAUCAAGAUCCUCGGAAAGGACUUUCUCUUUCGAACAAACAUAAUGGAAGCAUACUCUACACGCGCGACAUAUUCAAUCGGGCCAACCGUGUGACUCGUUUGGCAAAAGGGGCUCAUCAUCGGUUUCAUGGCAGCGAAGUGAGCAGACAAAAGAAGGCGUUUUUUCCGAAUGGUCGCUCUGGGCAAAAGUUCAGCCAAUUGCAAGGAAUAAACCACCGGAAUGACAGUAUCCGUGCUGAUUCAUAUAUAUUGUAGCUUUUGAAUUUUAAUACCCGGUCGAAACGAUGGCAAGUGCUGCCGAUAACUGGGUCAAAAAGGCGGAGGGAGGAUCAGGAAAUUUCUGCACUCGGUUAUCGAUCUGAGUAUCCCUAAGGAUAAGGAACCAGAGCCGACGGCUGACAGCCCAAAGAAAGAGAAUGCGGAAAAACCUUCUAGUUCACCGCCAGUAGAACCAGCGAUCAAAUUACUCCGGUAGAAACGGCUGCACCUGCAGUUUUGUUUUCGGUAGCUACUGAAAUUAAGACUUUAGCAGCUCCUGAAGAAAAAAAAGCUGCUAGCGAAAAUGGAGAAACAGCUUCCUCCACGGAAGAUGCAGAGGCAUUCAACCAGGCGGAUGCAAGUUUGCUAAUUAGCACUUAACUUAUUCGCAAAGGUCUAGUAGAAUCAAAGCUGGAUCUGGGGGUGAAGGAUCCUUCUUCGCCGCUAUACUUGGUUAAAACUUUCGAAGCUUUGCACAUGAAUUCGGAACUUGUUCAGGGAGUCUAUGCUAUGGGUUUCAACGGUCCUUCCAAGAUUCAGAAGACGGCUCAACCUACUCUGUUGGCCGAUCCGCCACAGAACAUAAUCGCCCAGAGUUGGUCGGGAACAAGAAAAACCACUGCCUUCGUGCUGGCAAUGCUCAAUCGAGUCGAUCCGUUGAAAAACUAUCCGCAGGUGAUUUGCCUUUCCCCACGUAUGAACUGGCAAUUCAGAAGGGGAAAGUAGCUGCAAAACGGCAAAGUUUUGUGCGGAAAUCGAACUUGGUUAAACCGUUCGCGGUGAGAAGAUCGUCAAAGGGGCGAAGCUGACUAAUCAUAUCAUCAUCGGAACAGCCGGGCGUUCGACCUUAAGAAGAUUGCCAUUUUUGUACCGGACGAGGCGGGCGUUAUGAUCGCUGUUCUUUUUAGCCACGUACGAGCGGGAGGUGAUGGGAUUCGUCCAGUACAUCGUAACCAAUCCGAUCAUGAUUCUUCUGGUGCGGGAGCAAGAAUCACUCGAUAACACCAAACACUACUACGUCAAAUGCCGCAACCAGGACGAGAAAUAUUAAGCAAUUUCAAACAUGUACGGUGUGAUUACCGUCGGACAAGCGAUCAUUUUCUGUCAUAUGAUGUAUAGGACAGUUGUAAACUCCAAGUAAACUUAUUUUCGGCAUUGUUAAUCGAUCGAAACAGGCACGCAAAACGGCCGGUUGGUUGACCGGCAGGAUGUCCCAGGAUGGUCACUCGGUAGCGGUACUGUCCGGUGAUCUAACGGUGGAGCAACGGUUGGAACGAACGUUUUGUCCA